rnacentral:tRNA from 1 species
AGGGGAUAUGGCGAAAUCGGUAGACGCUACGGACUU